GUGAACACCUAAUUUUGAUGAAAUAGUAGGUUUGGCAAAGUUUGAAGACUGUUAUUCUACCCCGAAACACAGUUACUUCAAUUAUGCACACAAUAAGUUCUACUCUGCACACAGUUUCUUUGUUUCCGAACACAGGUAAAUUAACUGCGAACAUAGUUAAUUAAACUGUGCACCCAGUUAAGUGAUAUUCAAAAAAUGUUGCAUAAGAUGGCAC
rnacentral:lncRNA from 1 species